GGUCUAAUAACGGAUACCACCCUCACGGGCAUCUGUGAGGGUUGAAAGCUCCGCCGGUGAAGGAUGAGCCCGCGGCCUAUCAGCUUGUUGGUGAGGUAACGGCUCACCAAGGCGACGACGGGUACCCGGCCUGAGAGGGCGACCGCCCACACUGGGACUGAGAACACGGCCCAGACUCCUACGGGAGGCAGCAGUGGGGAAUAUUGCACAAUGGGCGAAAGCCUGAUGCAGCGACGCCGCGUGAGGGAUGACGGCCUUCGGGUUGUAAACCUUCUUUCAGCAGGGAAGAAGCGAAAGUGACGGUACCUGCAGAAGAAGCGCCGGCUAACUACGUGCCAGCAGCCGCGGUAAUACGUAGGGCGCAAGCGUUGUCCGGAAUUAUUGGGCGUAAAGAGCUCGUAGGCGGCUUGUCACGUCGGGUGUGAAAGCCCGGGGCUUAACCCCGGGUCUGCAUUCGAUACGGGCUAGCUAGAGUGUGGUAGGGGAGAUCGGAAUUCCUGGUGUAGCGGUGAAAUGCGCAGAUAUCAGGAGGAACACCGGUGGCGAAGGCGGAUCUCUGGGCCAUUACUGACGCUGAGGAGCGAAAGCGUGGGGAGCGAACAGGAUUAGAUACCCUGGUAGUCCACGCCGUAAACGGUGGGAACUAGGUGUUGGCGACAUUCCACGUCGUCGGUGCCGCAGCUAACGCAUUAAGUUCACCGCCUGGGGAGUACGGCCGCAAGGCUAAAACUCAAAGGAAUUGACGGGGGCCCGCACAAGCAGCGGAGCAUGUGGCUUAAUUCGACGCAACGCGAAGAACCUUACCAAGGCUUGACAUACGCCGGAAAACCCUGGAGACAGGGUCCCCCUUGUGGUCGGUGUACAGGUGGUGCAUGGCUGUCGUCAGCUCAUGUCGUGAGAUGUUGGGUUAAGUCCCGCAACGAGCGCAACCCUUGUUCUGUGUUGCCAGCAUGCCCUUCGGGGUGAUGGGGACUCACAGGAGACCGNCCGGGGUCAACUCGGAGGAAGGUGAGGACGACGUCAAGUCAUCAUGCCCCUUAUGUCUUGGGCUGCACACGUGCUACAAUGGCCGGUACAAAGAGCUGCGAAACCGUGAGGUGGAGCAAAUCUCAAAAAGCCGGUCUCAGUUCGGAUUGGGGUCUG
rnacentral:rRNA from 1 species